GUCUUUCACAAGCAGACGCAGCUCAGUCACAAACUGUUCAAAAGACUCGCUAGCUCCCUGUACUUUCUCAUGGAAUUUGUACCUAGCGAAAAUUGUAUUAGUCUUCGGCACAACAUAUGCUUCAAAACGAUCGUAGUAUGUUUUCAGUACCUUUGAUUCAGCCUCGGUAAGUGUCCAUGUGUUGUAAAUAUCUCUCCUUUUUCACCGAUCCAGAGGAGCAGGUAGCUACAUUUUCCCUCUUCUCCUCUUUCCUUCAGGGGACCCGUGAACAUUAGCUCCACAUGCUGUUUGUACUUACGCCAUGCAUCGGGUUCGGAGGCUCAUCAUUUGAAGACGGAAAAGUGGUGCUGGUGAACCCUUGUACACAUAACCAGGCCUCUAUCCCAUAUAGAGGCAGGAGGACAGUCUCACCAGUAAGGAGGACCAGCCAUGUCUGGUACUAUAAGCAAUGUUCCUAAUAACAGUACUUUGUACCACUCAGACAAGAGCCUCACUGACACAGACCUGUGCAUAUGGAGCGUGGCUAUGGUCCUAAUAAUGGUUGUGCUGUCACUUGUCUGCUGCUUGUGUUACAUAUAUGUACUAUGUGCAAGGAAGACAAGAUACACCAUACUGCCUUUGAUUUCGGUGUGAUUCUAUUAUGUGCAUGUGAUGUUACUCAGUUGACCUGCUAAUAAACAG
rnacentral:lncRNA from 1 species